CAGUGUACCCGCGGCAAGACGGAAAGACCCCGUGAACCUUUACUAUAGCUUGACACUGAACAUUGAGCCUUGAUGUGUAGGAUAGGUGGGAGGCUUUGAAGUGUGGACGCCAGUCUGCAUGGAGCCGGCCUUGAAAUACCACCCUUUAAUGUUUGAUGUUCUAACGUGGACCCGUAAUCCGGGUUGCGGACAGUGUCUGGUGGGUAGUUUGACUGGGGCGGUCUCCUCCUAAAGAGUAACGGAGGAGCACGAAGG
rnacentral:rRNA from 3 species